CAGAGUAAGCGCCUAUGUGUUGAAUCACAUUUUGAAUGGUGCUUACGGGAUGCCGCCGGGUGUAAACAAGGGGCACUACUAAAC
ncrna:unclassified sequences GA-cis RNA